GUUUCUGUAGUGUAGUGGUUAUCACGUUUGCUUAACACGCAAAAGGUCCCUGGUUCCUGGGUGGAAACCGGGCAGAAACA